AGAGUUUGAUCCUGGCUCAGGACGAACGCUGGCGGCGUGCUUAACACAUGCAAGUCGAACGGGAUGAUUUAGAAGCUUGCUUUUAGAGAAUCUAGUGGCAAACGGGUGAGUAACACGUAGACAACCUGCCGACAGGAUGGGGACAACAUUCCGAAAGGAAUGCUAAUACCGAAUGAAGUCAGAGGAGGGCAUCCUCCUCUGAUGAAAGAUGGCCUCUGAAUAUGCUAUCACCUGUUGAUGGGUCUGCGUCUGAUUAGCUAGUUGGUGAGGUAACGGCUCACCAAGGCGACGAUCAGUAGCCGGUCUGAGAGGAUGAACGGCCACAUUGGGACUGAGACACGGCCCAGACUCCUACGGGAGGCAGCAGUGGGGAAUCUUCCGCAAUGGGCGCAAGCCUGACGGAGCAACGCCGCGUGAGUGAAGAAGGUCUUCGGAUCGUAAAGCUCUGUUGACGGGGACGAACGUGCGGAGUGCGAAUAGCGCUUUGUAAUGACGGUACCUGUCGAGGAAGCCACGGCUAACUACGUGCCAGCAGCCGCGGUAAUACGUAGGUGGCGAGCGUUAUCCGGAAUUAUUGGGCGUAAAGGGUGCGUAGGCGGCCUGUUAAGUAAGUGGUUAAAUUGUUGGGCUCAACCCAAUCCAGCCACUUAAACUGGCAGGCUAGAGUAUUGGAGAGGCAAGUGGAAUUCCAUGUGUAGCGGUAAAAUGCGUAGAUAUAUGGAGGAACACCAGUGGCGAAGGCGGCUUGCUAGCCAAAGACUGACGCUCAUGCACGAAAGCGUGGGGAGCAAAUAGGAUUAGAUACCCUAGUAGUCCACGCCGUAAACGAUGAAUACUAAGUAUUGGGGAAACUCAGUGCUGCAGCUAACGCAAUAAGUAUUCCGCCUGUGGAGUAUGCACGCAAGUGUGAAACAUAAAGGAAUUGACGGGGGCCCGCACAAGCGGUGGAGUAUGUGGUUUAAUUCGAC
rnacentral:rRNA from 1 species